CGGCGGGGCUUUGCCUUGACUGGGGCGUUGAGUCUCUUUAGACUCAUGCACCCCUAAAUUUGGCAGGGCGCUUGGCUCUGCCAUCUUUAUUUGUGUGUAGCUAAAUAGCGUCGAAAGACAACAGUGGAGCUAGUAGA
rfam:Pseudomonas sp. EGD-AK9 Contig_72, whole genome shotgun sequence.